ensembl:lncRNA
CCAUGGAAUAAGUAGAACAGAGAAUUAUUAUUCAUAUUUAACAAAUGAAGAAACUGAGCCCCAGAAGUUGGCCACUCAAGGUCAUAUAAUGAUAUGUAUGCCAGAACAAGCACCUAGGCUUCCCGUGACCCAUUUCUGUUUACUGGCACCAUGCUUCUGCCAGAUGAAUAUGAUAAUUGAAACUGAGCUGAAAUAUUAGUUGGGGAUACAGUCAGCACCAUAUGGUCCUCUUAUUGAUGUUUCAUUUCACAGAGCUAACACUAAUCCUGAUGUAAUAUAUAUAAUAUAUAUAUUAUAUAUAUAUAGCUCUAAUAUGGAAUGAAGUCUCCAUAAGUACUGGCUAAGUGAUUUAUACUCCUGUUAUUUCCUUCUUUGGGGGGCACGUGCUGUGAGAAUUAGAUGCACCCUAAUGACACUGAAUUUCAACACAGCAGUAAUUAUUUAGCCUGCAGACUCACUCUGCUUUGUCCUUUUGUCUGUAGUAUUCCUCUUUGUCUCUUUGUUUCCUUUGUUUCAUUCUCUACUUCUCUUCCAGUUUCUGCCAUUUCUUCAUCUCCAUCUCCUUUUGUUUUUCCUGUUCUUCCCUUGUGCUCAGUUCUCCAUUCUGAGAUAAACCUGGAAUAUAAAUGUACUAUGAUUCAUAGUACUUGUACUUCCUUGUUUUAAUAUAUCAGGGUUUUGUUAUCAUUGUUCAUAAAAUUUAAACCACUUGGUCUUGUUUGUUAUUCAAGUUAAUUGUACAGCCUUUGUUUCAAUUUUCAAAAGUCAUGUAAGAAUUUAAAACUGGCUGUAACUUUCAGGAAUCUCAGGGCUAAUAACUUAAAAUAAUGCCUUCUAUCAUUUCUUUUCUCUAGUUCUUUACUCUUCCUGUCACAUAUGUACAAAGUGUAGUACCAGGCUCUGCGGGGGACACAAUGGAACAUAAUCAGUAUACCUCACCCCAAAACACUCCCUCAGAAAGAUAAGACCCAAGGAAUGGGAAGCAGGGUAAAGGCACAUUGCAUUAAUUAGCUUUCUAUUACUAUAGCAAAAUAUCUGAAGCUGGGUACUUCAUAAAGAAGAAGUUUAUUUCACAGUUCUGGAAGUUUGACAGCAGUCUGUCUCUUGUGAAGGCCUCAUGACAUUGUAGCAUCACAAAUGAUGAGCAAAAGAGAGGGACAGAGGAGAGAGAGAGGGAGAGAGAGAGAGAGAGAGAGAGAGAGAGGAAGACCACAUAGGACGACAAGAACCCAGAGUAUACCAGGAGGGACCAGUAACAACCGUCCACUAAGCCCCACCUCUUAAAAGUCUGACUGUGUAUUAACAUCAACAAACCGAGGAUAAUAAUCCUUGAGGGACACACUCAAUCCAUAUCCAGACCAAUGUCCCUCCUCUUCACUCCAUACCUGCUCAGACUUUGCUGACUCCAGGACUCUAAACUGCAUAUGAGAGUGGUCAGGAUAAGUGAGCUUCUUUUGUGAAGAAGGCUCAGUAGAAUACACAAAAAAUGGUGUCUGGCAGGAGAAAAAACCCUCAGCAAACCACAUACUGUAUGGAGGACUGAGCUGUUAUAUUGCAGCAUGGAAUGUAUUUGUUUACCUUGUAUAAUCUCAUCAGGUAAACAAGAGGUUGAAAUGGUAAUGUGACCCAUGUUUCUUCCUCAAUAUACAGUAAUUAUUGUCCUCCUAAGAGUUCACAGCAGAGUGCAUCAGAAGAGUCUGCAAAGGAGAAAGAAUCUCUAAGAGAUUGAUAAUUAAAAAGGCACACACACACACAAAAAUACCAUGAAAUCUUGGAAUGUGUAAGCCCAGAGUCAUUUAGACCAAUCGUUCUUAACCCUCUUGGAUUUUGAACUUAUUUGGGAAACUAUAGAAAGCUGUAACUAAUAAAUACAUACAUAUAUACAUACAUACAUAAAUUAAUAAAACUAAUCAAUAAAAGUAUAACUAAAAGCUAAUAACAACAAAACAAUUGUACAUAUUUGUACAUAGGAUUUGUCUACUGUUUAGAACCUGUGACCUGGCUGCAUGAUUUUGCAAAUAAAGUUUUAUUGGGAUGCAUCUUCACU